CCACCUGCACCUUAUGUGGCAGCAACUCUGGUCAGGGAGCACUCAAGAGGCUGUGGAAAGAUGCAAGAGAAAUAGGACAUGUCCAGUGAAUCAUCCUGGCACACAUAUGAAUGGUUUUUUAACUGUGAAUCUGCUUAUUUCCACACAAAUAGCAUAGGAACUGAGGGAAUCAAAUGAGAGCCACUGUCGCUCUGACAAAAAGAAAGAGAAAGGAAGAGAGACAGAGGAAGUAAGCGUUUGUUUCAUAUUUACUUCUUGAAUAUUCCCUAGUGCAAAGCACAUGUAUGUGAUCCUGCUCUAUGCUCAUGAAAUCCAUGCAUCAUCUCUUAUAUUAAUUUUACAGAUGUGGAAACUCAAAUAAAGAGAGGUGAAAGAGUCCCCAGGACAACACAAAAAGGUGACAGAGCCACUGAAUUUAAAUCCAUACCCUCUAAUUCAAGGAAAUGAAAGAAGAGUUUUGAAGAGACAGCUGCCCUCCAUGCUCACGGCAGCAUCAUUCAAAACAGCUAAGAUGAAGAAACAACUAAAAAAGUCUGUUGAGAAAUGAAUAAAGAAAUACAAUAA